ACACCAUGAUCAAUCAGGUGAUAGCUUUGUUUAUCACAAGGGAUGCUAGCCUGAUCACCUGCCUUCGAUUUGUCUCUGAUACGUCCUCCAUCGGAGGUCUGUAUUGAGCAGAUUCAUUUUGGUGUUGGGUGGUGGAACCGGAGCUUGCUCCAUCCCCUCCAUGCAUUGACCUGGUAUACCAGUGCUUCCAGGACCAGUGCAAAAAAA
rnacentral:snRNA from 1 species